rnacentral:lncRNA from 1 species
CAGCUCACAAGGCUGGAAAUGACUGCAUUAUCGAUUCUGCUGUCACAGUAAAUGUUCCAUAACAAAGGCAUGUUGAAUUUGGUCUCAUUCAUUAGAGUAUAGGACUUUUGUUUGGUCACAUCUUUAUCAUUUAAGAGACAUUUAAAAAUGGUAUUUAUUUUUAUUUCAACAUGUCAACUGUGCAUUUCCAAACAGCAGGCUUUUCAAAGGAAUAAAUCAGAACUGUAAACACAAGAUACAGUAUAAGUUUUUGACUUCCUACAGUCAGUUUCACAAAUCCACAUACUGUACAUUCAUAGGUGAGGUUAAGCCUGUCACCCAUUUCUUUAUUUCUAUAAUUACACAAGCAUAAUAAAUACAUCUGAUUUUAAAGGUCACUUAAAAUGAGUCAUAAUUUACAGUACAGUACGUUUCAGUUCAAGUGCAAAAAAUAACUAUUUGCUGAAUUCUAUUUCUUUCAGUUAUUUUAUUUUUAAGCUGUGUUUUAUGGUGAAGCGAGACAUCCAAGUGUAGAAUUUCUUAUCCCAAAUGCAGUAUUGGGCAGAACUAUGGUGUCAUGGAGAAGCCCUCACUUUACAAUUGAUCCUGUCUAAUCAGGGUCAGAGGGUAAGGUGAGUUGCUCAUUUCGAACUGUUCUUUUCUUUCCUCUCUCUCCUGUGCUCUUCCACAGCUAUUAUAAAUUAUAUAAUUCACCUUUAUUCAGCUAAAACAGUGUUCCCUUUUCCACACUCCCCCCAGGUUUCCUGUUAACCUCUGCUUUGAUUUUUAGUGGCAGGCUUCACGUGCGAUCCACCCAGCCAUUGUUCUGGCUGCAGUUGUAACGUUUGCAGUUGCAUACAUUACAUUGUCCAGUGUCUGACUGUGUCUUCAUGAGAACGAAUAUACUGAGAUUUUCUUUCUUUAGUCAUUGGAAAGUAUAGUUGCUACUUAUUGCCAUCCUUCCCAUUCAUGGUUUCCUAUUUACCACCUUUUCCUCACCAAAAACAAAACAAAACUGACCCAAUAUGUAAUUUCUAAAAAUUGUACCUCCAGCUUUGUUCUUUUGGCUUAGGAUUCACUUGGCAAUGCGUGCUCUUUUUUGGUUUCGUAUGAACUUUAAAGUAGUUUUUUCCAAUUCUGUGAAGAAAGUCAUUGGUAGCUUGAUGGGGAUGGCAU